GACAGAGGGUGCAAACGUUGUUCGGAAUUACUGGGCGUAAAGCGCGUGUAGGCGGCUACGUAAGUCGGACGUGAAAGCCCGCAGCUCAACUGCGGAAGUGCGCUCGAAACUGUGUAGCUUGAGUUCUGGAGAGGAAGGCGGAAUACCUGGUGUAGAGGUGAAAUUCGUAGAUAUCAGGUAGAACACCAGUGGCGAAGGCGGCCUUCUGGACAGAUACUGACGCUGAGACGCGAAAGCGUGGGGAGCAAACAGG
rnacentral:rRNA from 1 species